rnacentral:rRNA from 1 species
AUGAUUUACAUUUGAGUGAGUGGCGAACUGGUGAGUAACACGUGGGAAACCUGCCCAGAAGCGGGGGAUAACACCUGGAAACAGAUGCUAAGUACCGUAUAACAACAAAAUCCGCAUGGAUUUUGUUUGAAAGGUGGCUUCGGCUAUCACUUCUGGAUGAUCCCGCGGCGUAUUAGCUAGAUGGUGGGGUAACGGCUCACCAUGGCAAUGAUACGUAGCCGACCCUGAGAGGGUAAUCGGCCACAUUGGGACUGAGACACGGCCCAAACUCC